UCACCAGACUCCUACGGGAGGCAGCAGUGGGGGAUAUUGCACAAUGGGGGAAACCCUGAUGCAGCGACGCCGCGUGGGCGAAGAAGUAUUUCGGUAUGUAAAGCCCUAUCAGCAGGGAAGAAGAAAUGACGGUACCUGAGUAAGAAGCACCGGCUAAAUACGUGCCAGCAGCCGCGGUAAUACGGAGGGUGCGAGCGUUAAUCGGAAUUACUGGGCGUAAAGCGCUCGUAGGCGGUAUGUCAAGUCAAGGGUGAAAUCCCCGCGCUCAACGUGGGAACUGCCUUUGAAACUGGCAAACUGGAGUGUGUGAGAGGAUAGUGGAAUUCCAGGUGUAGGAGUGAAAUCCGUAGAUAUCUGGAGGAACACCGGUGGCGAAGGCGGCCUGCUGGACUGUAACUGACACUGAGGCUCGAAAGCGUGGGGAGCAAACAGGAUUAGAUACCCCUGUA
rnacentral:rRNA from 1 species